rnacentral:rRNA from 1 species
AACGAACGCUGGCGGCAGGCCUAACACAUGCAAGUCGAGCGCACCCCUCGGGGCGAGCGGCGGACGGGUUAGUAACGCGUGGGAACGUACCUUUUUCUACGGAAUAGCCUCGGGAAACUGAGAGUAAUACCGUAUAAGCCCUUCGGGGGAAAGAUUUAUCGGUAAAGGAUCGGCCCGCGUUAGAUUAGAUAGUUGGUGGGGUAAUGGCCUACCAAGUCUACGAUCUAUAGCUGGUUUUAGAGGAUGAUCAGCAACACUGGGACUGAGACACGGCCCAGACUCCUACGGGAGGCAGCAGUGGGGAAUCUUAGACAAUGGGCGAAAGCCUGAUCUAGCCAUGCCGCGUGUGUGAUGAAGGCCUUAGGGUCGUAAAGCACUUUCGCCAGAGAUGAUAAUGACAGUAUCUGGUAAAGAAACCCCGGCUAACUCCGUGCCAGCAGCCGCGGUAAUACGGAGGGGGUUAGCGUUGUUCGGAAUUACUGGGCGUAAAGCGCACGUAGGCGGAUCAGAAAGUAAGAGGUGAAAUCCCAGGGCUCAACCCUGGAACUGCCU